GCCCUUAUUAAAUUCUUCUCUCCAUCUCUCUCUCUCUCUCUCUCUCUGUCUGCAAUCGGACUCGGAAUUCCAAUUAUCCCAUACAAAACCCCCAUAUCAUUUUUCUCAUUUCCUCCACACCCAAAAAACCCUAACCGACGACUCUCUCUCUCUACAAAUGGAUCGCCCAAACUCACCGCCUUUUCCUUUCAAAACCCUAACUCCAAGCAAAAGCUCCUUUGAUUCUUCUCUCCAUCUCUCUCUCUCUCUCUCUCUCUCUCUCUCUCUCUCUGCAAUUAGACUUGGAAUCUGGUCAAUUUUUUCUUGCAUUUUGUUCAUCAGGAGAUGCUUCAUUUCUCAUCUAAUUCAAUAAGAUGAUGGUCUAUUAGUAGGAGGCAUCGGGGUUGGGCCCAAGAUCGAGGAGGUGGACUAAGCACUGGAGAAUGUCUAAAAGUUUCUUUCAGCUAUCGAUGAAAUGGGGUUAUUAAGAUUUGAAGCAUCAGACCUAGAGCAGAAAGGGGCUCAUGGAGCUAUGAGAAGGAUCCAACUCAAGUGACAAGGGUCGUGUGGUGGAGGUUUGAGUGGCUACAUAUGUGAUAGGCUACACCCCUUGGAUGUAUGUUCCACCAACCCAAAGUCAUCCUGUAAAUCCUUGUUGAAAAAUGCAGGCGAAUUAAUAACAUAUAAUA